CCUUUAAAAAGCCAUAGCUGGGUGAAGCAAGUUGAGAAAUGCAUAACGUGUGAUAGAUGUGGAUAUUAUUGAUUCUUCCCACCCCUGCAGAAGAGAAGAUACCUAUGGUCAAUGGAAGACUUAUCGUCAUAAGGUCAGCAGUAGCCUAACACUACUUACCGCUGCCUACAUCAUGUAGACAUUUUAUCAUCUUACAUCAUCACAAGAAGAGGAAGGAAUCCACGUAAACACGCAGUGCCAAUCACCUCAGCCUCCACACAUCCCUCCCUGAAUACCUGACGAAGUGAAAAUCGG